AUUGAACGCUGGCGGCAGGCCUAACACAUGCAAGUCGAACGAGUGGCGGACGGGUGAGUAAUGUCUGGGAAACUGCCUGAUGGAGGGGGAUAACUACUGGAAACGGUAGCUAAUACCGCAUACCAUCGGAUGUGCCCAGAUGGGAUUAGCUAGUAGGUGGGGUAAAGGCUCACCUAGGCGACGAUCCCUAGCUGGUCUGAGAGGAUGACCGGCCACACUGGAACUGAGACACGGUCCAGACUCCUACGGGAGGAAGCAGUGGGGAAUAUUCCACAAUGGGCGAAAGCCUGAUGCAGCAAUGCCGCGUGUGUGAAGAAGGCCUUCGGGUUGUAAAGUACUUUAAGCGGGGAGGCGUUACCCGCAGAGAAAGCACCGGCUAACUACGUGCCAGCAGCCGCGGUAAUUC
rnacentral:rRNA from 1 species